UUUUUAAUUGAAAUCUAGAAUGAAUGGUGGACAAAAAGAAUACUGUCUUUGUUUUAAAAAUUUAACUUAACUUUUAAGGAAAAGGCUUAAAUAAUCUAAAAAGACGAUAAGACCCUAUAAAACUUUAUAUUAAAAUUAAUUUAUAUAUUGAAGUUUAAAAAUAAAAAUUUAAAUUAAUUAUUAUAUUAUGUUGGGGAGACAAAAAUAUAAAGUUACAUAACAUUAUAAAGUAAAACAUAAGAUAAAUGAUUAUUAUAGAUUGAUCCUUUUUAAAGAUUAAAAGAUUAAGUUACUUUAGGGAUAACAGCGUUAUUUUUUUUGAGAGUUCAUAUCGAAAAAAGAGAUUGCGACCUCGAUGUUGAGUUAAUAUAUCUAUAUGGCGUAGAAGUUAUAUUAGAGGGUCUGUU
rnacentral:rRNA from 1 species